rnacentral:rRNA from 1 species
GACGAACGCUGGCGGCGUGCCUAACACAUGCAAGUCGAACGAUGAAGGAGGAGCUUGCUCCUCCGGAUUAGUGGCGAACGGGUGAGUAAUACGUGAGCAAUGUGCCCUUGACUCUGGGAUAAGCGCUGGAAACGGCGUCUAAUACCGGAUACGACCCUCGGAGGCAUCUCCUGAUGGUGGAAAGAACUUCGGUCAAGGAUCAGCUCACGGCCUAUCAGCUAGUUGGUGAGGUAACGGCUCACCAAGGCGACGACGGGUAGCCGGCCUGAGAGGGUGACCGGGCACACUGGGACUGAGACACGGCCCAGACUCCUACGGGAGGCAGCAGUGGGGAAUAUUGCACAAUGGGCGCAAGCCUGAUGCAGCAACGCCGCGUGAGGGACGAAGGCCUUCGGGUUGUAAACCUCUUUUAGCAGGGAAGAAGCGAAAGUGACGGUACCUGCAGAAAAAGCACCGGCUAACUACGUGCCAGCCGCCGCGGUAACAC